rnacentral:rRNA from 1 species
GGGAUAACAUUUGGAAACAAGUGCUAAUACCGUAUAAUACCAACAACCGCAUGGUUGUUGGUUGAAAGAUGGUUCUGCUAUCACUAAGAGAUGGACCCGCGGUGCAUUAGCUAGUUGGUAAGGUAACGGCUUACCAAGGCAAUGAUGCAUAGCCGAGUUGAGAGACUGAUCGGCCACAAUGGGACUGAGACACGGCCCAUACUCCUACGGGAGGCAGCAGUAGGGAAUCUUCCACAAUGGGCGCAAGCCUGAUGGAGCAACGCCGCGUGUGUGAUGAAGGGUUUCGGCUCGUAAAACACUGUUAUAAGAGAAGAACGGCACUGAGAGUAACUGUUCAGUGUGUGACGGUAUCUUACCAGAAAGGAACGGCUAAAUACGUGCCAGCAGCCGCGGUAAUACGUAUGUUCCAAGCGUUAUCCGGAUUUAUUGGGCGUAAAGCGAGCGCAGACGGUUAUUUAAGUCUGAAGUGAAAGCCCUCAGCUCAACUGAGGAAUGGCUUUGGAAACUGGAUGACUUGAGUGCAGUAGAGGAAAGUGGAACUCCAUGUGUAGCGGUGAAAUGCGUAGAUAUAUGGAAGAACACCAGUGGCGAAGGCGGCUUUCUGGACUGUAACUGACGUUGAGGCUCGAAAGUGUGGGUAGCAAACAGGAUUAGAUACCCUGGUAGUCCACACCGUAAACGAUGAGUGCUAGAUGUUUCGAGGGUUUCCGCCCUUGAGUGUCG